rnacentral:rRNA from 1 species
AUUGAACGCUGGCGGCAGGCCUAACACAUGCAAGUCGAGCGGAUGAAGGGAGCUUGCUCCUGGAUUCAGCGGCGGACGGGUGAGUAAUGCCUAGGAAUCUGCCUGGUAGUGGGGGAUAACGUCCGGAAACGGGCGCUAAUACCGCAUACGUCCUGAGGGAGAAAGUGGGGGAUCUUCGGACCUCACGCUAUCAGAUGAGCCUAGGUCGGAUUAGCUAGUUGGUGGGGUAAAGGUCUACCGAGGCGACGAUCCGUAACUGGUCUGAGAGGAUGAUCAGUCACACUGGAACUGAGACACGGUCCAGACUCCUACGGGAGGCAGCAGUGGGGAAUAUUGGACAAUGGGCGAAAGCCUGAUCCAGCCAUGCCGCGUGUGUGAAGAAGGUCUUCGGAUUGUAAAGCACUUUAAGUUGGGAGGAAGGGCAGUAAGUUAAUACCUUGCUGUUUUGACGUUACCAACAGAAUAAGCACCGGCUAACUUCGUG